rnacentral:rRNA from 1 species
UAUACCGUAGCUUGCUACACCAUAGACUGUGAGUUGCGAACGGGUGAGUAACGCGUAGGUAACCUGCCUAUUAGAGGGGGAUAACUAUUGGAAACGAUAGCUAAUACCGCAUAACAGUAUGUAACACAUGUUAGAUGCUUGAAAGAUGCAAUUGCAUCGCUAGUAGAUGGACCUGCGUUGUAUUAGCUAGUAGGUAGGGUAAAGGCCUACCUAGGCAACGAUACAUAGCCGACCUGAGAGGGUGAUCGGCCACACUGGGACUGAGACACGGCCCAGACUCCUACGGGAGGCAGCAGUAGGGAAUCUUCGGCAAUGGGGGGAACCCUGACCGAGCAACGCCGCGUGAGUGAAGAAGGUUUUCGGAUCGUAAAGCUCUGUUGUUAAGGAAGAACGAGUGUGAGAAUGGAAAGUUCAUGCUGUGACG